rnacentral:lncRNA from 1 species
GAGGGCAGAGCAGCACGGCCUGAGGGCAAGGGACGCGGUCUACGCGAUUGGCCUGUCACCGACGUAGAGUGCGGGCAGCAGCAGUUGCACUUACACGCUUUUGGCUACAGCGUAAGGAGGUUAUUUGAGCGCUCCGUCACCCCCACCUCUACCCCUUCGGCCCCAGGAGCAAAGGGCGCAGCGCGCCGGCGGGGAGGGGCUGCCGGAAGUGGGCCCUUGCUGGUACCGCCUUUUCCGAUGGUCCUGGGCUCGGGCGGCACCUGGUCCUGCACACGUUGCGUUCCGGGCCCCGAGCCGGCCGCCCCGCCCCUCGGCCGCCACCGCCUCCCCCGCCGGCGCCAUGGCCGCUGCGGCCGGGGACGGCUCUGUGAAGCCACUGCAAUGCGCCAUGAAGCUGGCCAACGGGGCCAUCGAGCUGGACACGGGCAACCGGCCCCGGGAGGCAUAUACAGAAUACCUGAGGAGCAUCCAUUACAUCUCCCAGGUGCUGCUGGAAGAAGUGGAGGCCACUAAAGAAGCUGGGGAAACUGUGACCUCUGAUACCUCAAAGAUGCUGAAGCUGGCCGAGCAGUGUCUGGAGAGGGCCCAGUCAACAGCUGCCAAGCUUGGGAAAACAUGCCUAAGGCCAGCCAUGCCUGUGGCUGCGCCCGUGCCCUCCCCUGCUAGUCGACACCGCCGGGUAUACUCAGAUGAGGGAGGGAAGCUCUCUCCGUUCCUGCCACCUGAGAUCUUCCAGAAGCUUCAGGUCGUGGAGUCACAAAGCUCUAAGAAGGAGCUGACACCCCUGGAAGAGGCCUCCCUGCAGAAUCAGAAGCUGAAGGCUGCCUAUGAGGCCCGGAUGGCCCGGCUAGACCCCAGCCAGGCCAUGCAGAAGACAUCCCUGACCCUGUCCCUGCAGCGCCAGAUGAUGGAGAACCUGGUGAUCGCUAAGGCCCGGGAGGACACACUGCAGAGGAAGAUGGAAGAGCGCCGGCUGCGGCUCCAGGAGGCCGCCAACAAGAGGUUCUGCAGCCAGGUUGCCCUGACCCCCGAGGAGCGGGAGCAGCGAGCCCUCUAUGCUGCCAUCCUGGAGUACGAGCAAGACCAUGACUGGCCAAAGCACUGGAAGGCCAAGCUCAAGAGGAGCCCAGGGGACCUGUCCCUGGUGACCAGCCUGGUCUCCCACCUGCUCAGCGUUCCCGACCACCCCAUCUCCCAGCUCCUGAAGAAGCUCCAGUGCGCGGUGUACCGGGCGCUGUACCCCAUCGUGAGCAAGGGCGCCGCCCCCGGCUGCUGUUCCCUGCCCCCUGACGCCGACGGGCUGCUGGCUCCUGGAAGCCGGCGGCUCCGGCCUUCUCAGAGCCUCUACUGCAUGCCUUCCCCGCUGGAGCCCAGCCCGGCCCCAAGGCCCCUGGACGGCCCAUGCGCCAGCCCACCCCGCCCCGGCAGCCCCGCAGGGCCUCCAUCACCCCAGCUGCUGGGCAAGGACAGCUCCUUCGAGGAUCUAGAACAGUUCUUGGCUCCUCCUGAGAGGAGGGGCCGGGGCCCUGGGGAGCGGCCUGAGCCCCAGAUCCCAGGGUUGAGGAAGGAGCCUAUGCUGGAGCAGCUGAAGGGCACUGUGCAGGACAUACACGACGCCAUCGACAGGCUGCUCUCGCUCACCCUCCUGGCUUUUGAAGGCCUAAACACGGCCGCCUCCAAGGACCGCUGCCUGGCCUGCAUCGAGGAGCCGUUCUUCUCCCCACUGUGGCCCCUGCUGCUGGCUGUCUACAGGAGCGUUCACCGCCUGCGGGAGGAGGCCUUGAGCCGGAGCAUGGAGCUGUACAGGAAUGCACCCCCAGCGGCCGUCGGUGUCCCCACCAGGCUCCUCCCGCAGGACCCCGAGGCCGCGGGAGCGGGCCCCUACCCCUACUGCGCCGCAGCCCAGGAGCUGGGGCUGCUGGUUCUGGAGAGCUGCCCCCAGAAGAAACUGGAGUGCAUUGUUCGGGCCCUGCGGGUCAUCUGCGCCUGUGCGGAGGAUUACUACCGGGCCCGGGAGACUGCGCUGCAGCCUGGCAUCGCCGCUAUUGGUGCUGAUGACUUGCUGCCCAUCCUGUCCUUUGUGGCGCUGAAAAGUGGCCUCCCUCAGUUGGUGUCAGAGUGUGCAGCCCUGGAGGAGUUCAUCCAUGAGAGGUACCUGAUUGGAGAGGAGGGCUACUGCCUGACAUCCCUGCAGAGUGCCCUGAGCUACGUGGAGCUGCUGCCCCGGCGGGCCCUGGGCAAGUAG